UACGUAGGGGGCAAGCGUUGUCCGGAAUCAUUGGGCGUAAAGAGCGUGUAGGCGGCCCGAUAAGUCGGGUGUGAAAGCCCGGGGCUCAACCCCGGAAAUGCGCCCGAAACUGGCGAGCUUGAGUGCGGGAGAGGGAAGCGGAAUUCCUGGUGUAGAGGUGAAAUUCGUAGAUAUCAGGAGGAACACCGGUGGCGAAAGCGGCUUCCUGGCCCGACACUGACGCUCAUGUACGAAAGCGUGGGGAGCAAACAGG
rnacentral:rRNA from 1 species